UGUGUGUGUGUGUGUGUGUGUGUGUGUGCGCGUGUGCGCGCACACACGCGCACGCACGCACACGUGCA
rnacentral:miRNA from 1 species